rnacentral:rRNA from 1 species
AGUGAACGCUGGCGGUAGGCCUAACACAUGCAAGUCGAACGGCAGCACAGUAAGAGCUUGCUCUUACGGGUGGCGAGUGGCGGACGGGUGAGGAAUACAUCGGAAUCUACUUUUUCGUGGGGGAUAACGUAGGGAAACUUACGCUAAUACCGCAUACGACCUACGGGUGAAAGCAGGGGAUCUUCGGACCUUGCGCGAUUGAAUGAGCCGAUGUCGGAUUAGCUAGUUGGCGGGGUAAAGGCCCACCAAGGCGACGAUCCGUAGCUGGCCUGAGAGGAUGAUCAGCCACACUGGAACUGAGACACGGUCCAGACUCCUACGGGAGGCAGCAGUGGGGAAUAUUGGACAAUGGGCGCAAGCCUGAUCCAGCCAUACCGCGUGGGUGAAGAAGGCCUUCGGGUUGUAAAGCCCUUUGUUGGGAAAGAAAAGCAGCAGGUUAAUACCCCGCUGUUCUGACGGUACCCAAAGAAUAAGCACCGGCUAACUUCGUG